rnacentral:snRNA from 1 species
GGAUGUGAGGGCCAUCUGGCUGCGACACCUGUCACCCCAUUGAUCGGCAGAGUUGAUCCUGCUGAUCUGGCUGGCUAGGCAGGUGUCCCCUUCUUCCUUCACUGCUCCAUGUGCGUCCCUCCUGAACCAGCAGCUGGGUCAAAGAGGACAACCAUCCCGUAGAGGAGGGCCGUCCCUCAGUCAAGGGCAUACGAGUAGCUGCCCUCCCCUGCUAGAACCUCCAGACAAGCUCUCAAGUUCUCAGACACCUCUGCAAUUGGAAAGACUAAUUCU